CCAGCACAGCCCAUUUACCAGUGCUCUUAAAAAAAUAGGCAGGCCUCUUGAUGGAGUAAAAGGAAUAGAUGUUAAAAUCUACAAAGAAGAGAAGUUGUUGACUCCUUUGCAACUGGAAAAGGAGUAUUCUAAUUGGAUUAUCCAAAUGCAUGAUCAUUAUGAUGAAGAGGUUGACAGCGGCGAGGACCAAGCUGUUUUCAUAAUCAACCCUGGAAACAAGAAGGCACUUGGUGUAUCAUCCGACGUUGUGAGAGUGCACCGUCAGAUGAAAAGGAAGGGAGUAUCUUGGAGAUGUGGCCAGAAAAUCAAAAUUCUCAAAGGAGCAUGUGCCGGAGUGCACAAGAAGAAUGUUUAUGCUACUCUGGAAUAUUUUUUGCUUGAAGGACUUCAAGGAGAUG